rnacentral:rRNA from 1 species
GUGCCAGCAGCCGCGGUAAUACGGAGGGGGCCAGCGUUGUUCGGAAUUAUUGGGCGUAAAGGGCGCGUAGGCGGCCAUUCAAGUCGGACGUGAAAUCCCUCGGCUCAACCGGGGAACUGCGUCCGAUACUGUUUGGCUCGAGUCCUGGAGAGGGUAGUGGAAUUCCCAGUGUAGCGGUGAAAUGCGUAGAUACUGGGAGGAACACCGGUGGCGAAGGCGGCUACCUGGACAGGUACUGACGCUGAUGCGCGAAAGCUAGGGGAGCAAACAGGAUUAGAUACCCUCGUAGUCC